UACGUAGGGUGCAAGCGUUGUCCGGAAUUAUUGGGCGUAAAGAGCUCGUAGGCGGUUUGUCGCGUCUGCUGUGAAAACUCGGGGCUUAACCCCGGGCCUGCAGUGGGUACGGGCAGACUAGAGUGCGGUAGGGGAGACUGGAAUUCCUGGUGUAGCGGUGAAAUGCGCAGAUAUCAGGAGGAACACCGGUGGCGAAGGCGGGUCUCUGGGCCGUAACUGACGCUGAGGAGCGAAAGCGUGGGGAGCGAUCCGG
rnacentral:rRNA from 1 species